rnacentral:tRNA from 1 species
GUCUUAGUAGCUCAGUAGUUAGAGCGUGGGGGUGUUAACCCCAAGGUGUUGGGUUCGAAUUUCACCAAAAACA